AGGGUCACCCAACAUGCAAUGGGCAUUGUUGUGAACAAGCAAGUUAAGGGCAAGAUUCUUGCCAAGAGAAUUAAUGUACGUAUUGAGCAUAUUAAGCAUCUAAGAGCCGAGAUAGCUUCCUGAAACGUGUGAAGG